UACGUAGGGCGCAAGCGUUGUUCGGAAUUACUGGGCGUAAAGGGCUCCUAGGUGGCCAACUAAGUCAGACGUGAAAUCCCUCGGCUUAACCGGGGAACUGCGUCUGAUACUGGAUGGCUUGAGAUUGGGAGAGGGAUGCGGAAUUCCAGGUGUAGCGGUGAAAUGCGUAGAUAUCUGGAGGAACACCGGUGGCGAAGGCGGCAGCCUGGACCAACACUGACACUGAGGAGCGAAAGCCAGGGGAGCAAACGGG
rnacentral:rRNA from 1 species